GCCAGGCGUGGUGGCGUGUGCCUGUAAUCCCAGCUACUCAGGAGGCUGAGGCAGGAGAAUCGCUUGAACCCAGGAGUCGGAGGUUGCAGUGAGCCAAGAUUGUGCCACUGCACUGCAGCCUGGGUGACAGAGUGAGACUCCGUCUCAA
rnacentral:SRP_RNA from 1 species